GACGAACGCUGGCGGCGUGCUUAACACAUGCAAGUCGAACGGAAAGGCCCUGCUUUUGUGGGGUGCUCGAGUGGCGAACGGGUGAGUAACACGUGAGUAACCUGCCCUUGACUUUGGGAUAACUUCAGGAAACUGGGGCUAAUACCGGAUAGGAGCUCCUGCUGCAUGGUGGGGGUUGGAAAGUUUCGGCGGUUGGGGAUGGACUCGCGGCUUAUCAGCUUGUUGGUGGGGUAGUGGCUUACCAAGGCUUUGACGGGUAGCCGGCCUGAGAGGGUGACCGGCCACAAUGGGACUGAGAUACGGACCAGACUCCUACGGGAGGCAGCAGUGGGGAAUAUUGCACAAUGGGCGGAAGCCUGAUGCAGCAACGCCGCGUGCGGGAUGACGGCCUUCGGGUUGUAAACCGCUUUAGCCUGUGACGAAGCGUGAGUGACGGUAAUGGGUAAAGAAGCACCGGCUAACUACGUG
rnacentral:rRNA from 1 species